rnacentral:rRNA from 1 species
CCCCCCGUAGUAGCAUAUCAAUAAGCGGAGGAAAAGAAACCAACAGGGAUUGCCCCAGUAACGGCGAGUGAAGCGGCAACAGCUCAAAUUUGAAAUCUGGUCCCCAGGGCCCGAGUUGUAAUUUGCAGAGGAUGCUUUUGGUGAGGUGCCUUCCGAGUUCCCUGGAACGGGACGCCAUAGAGGGUGAGAGCCCCGUCUGGUUGGAUACCGAGCCUCUGUAAAGCUCCUUCGACGAGUCGAGUAGUUUGGGAAUGCUGCUCUAAAUGGGAGGUAUAUGUCUUCUAAAGCUAAAUAUUGGCCAGAGACCGAUAGCGCACAAGUAGAGUGAUCGAAAGAUGAAAAGCACUUUGAAAAGAGGGUUAAAUAGUACGUGAAAUUGUUGAAAGGGAAGCACUUAUGACCAGACUUGGCCCCGGUGAAUCAUCCAGCGGUUCCCGUUGGUGCACUUUGCCGGGGUUCAGGCCAGCAUCAGUUCGCUCCGGGGGAUAAAGGCUUUGGGAAUGUGGCUCCCUCGGGAGUGUUAUAGCCCAUUGCGCAAUACCCUGUGGCGGGCUGAGGUUCGCGCUUUAUGCAAGGAUGCUGGCAUAAUGGUCAUCAGUGACCCGUCUUGAAACACGGACCAAGGAGUCGUCUUCGUAUGCGAGUGUUCGGGUGUUAAACCCCUACGCGUAAUGAAAGUGAACGCAGGUGAGAGCCCUCCAGGGCGCAUCAUCGACCGAUCCUGAUGUUCUCGGAUGGAUUUGAGUAAGAGCAUACGGGGCCGGACCCGAAAGAAGGUGAACUAUGCCUGUAUAGGGUGAAGCCAGAGGAAACUCUGGUGGAGGCUCGCAGCGGUUCUGACGUGCAAAUCGAUCGUCAAAUAUGGGCAUGGGGGCGAAAGACUAAUCGAA